AGCGAACGCUGGCGGCAGGCUUAACACAUGCAAGUCGGACGCCCGGGCAACCGGGAGUGGCAGACGGGUGAGUAACGCGUGGGAACAUGCCCUUUGGUUCGGAAUAACUCAGGGAAACUUGAGCUAAUACCGGAUAAGCCCUAACGGGGAAAGAUUUAUCGCCGAAGGAUUGGCCCGCGUCCGAUUAGCUAGUUGGUGUGGUAAUGGCGCACCAAGGCGACGAUCGGUAGCUGGUCUGAGAGGAUGAUCAGCCACACUGGGACUGAGACACGGCCCAGACUCCUACGGGAGGCAGCAGUGGGGAAUAUUGGACAAUGGGGGCAACCCUGAUCCAGCCAUGCCGCGUGAGUGAUGAAGGCCCUAGGGUUGUAAAGCUCUUUCGGCGGGGACGAUAAUGACGGUACCCGCAGAAGAAGCCCCGGCUAACUUCGUGCCAGCAGCCGCCGUAAUAC
rnacentral:rRNA from 1 species